UACGGAGGGUGCAAGCGUUAAUCGGAAUUACUGGGCGUAAAGCGCACGUAGGCGGUAUGUUAAGUUGGAUGUGAAAUCCCCGGGCUCAACCUGGGAAUUGCAUUCAAAACUGGCAUGCUAGAGUAUGUGAGAGGGGGGUAGAAUUCCAAGUGUAGCGGUGAAAUGCGUAGAGAUUUGGAGGAAUACCAGUGGCGAAGGCGGCCCCCUGGCACAAUACUGACGCUCAGGUGCGAAAGCGUGGGGAGCAAACAGG
rnacentral:rRNA from 1 species